GACGAACGCUGGCGGCGUGCUUAACACAUGCAAGUCGAACGGAAAGGCCCCUUUGGGGGUACUCGAGUGGCGAACGGGUGAGUAACACGUGAGUAACCUGCCCUUGCCUUCGGGAUAACUUCAGGAAACUGGGGCUAAUACCGGAUAGGAAUCCUUGCUGCAUGGUGGAGGUUGGAAAGCUUCGGCGGUGUUGGAUGGACUCGCGGCCUAUCAGCUUGUUGGUGGGGUAGUGGCUUACCAAGGCUUUGACGGGUAGCCGGACUGAGAGGGCGACCGGCCACAUUGGGACUGAGAUACGGCCCAGGCUCCUACGGGAGGCAGAAGUGGGGAAGAUUGCACAAUGGGCGGAAGCCUGAUGCAGCAACGCCGCGGGCGGGAUGACGGCCUUCGGGUUGAAAACCGCUUUCAGCAGGGGCGAAGCUUGUGGUGACGGUACCUGCAGAAGAAGCACCGGCUAACUACGUG
rnacentral:rRNA from 1 species